rnacentral:lncRNA from 1 species
GACGUGAUCCUGAUUCAGAGCGAGCUGGACCGCCUGAGGAAAGUGUCUGAGAACAGGACUCCGCCCACCUGGAACCACGCCUUUUCCACGGACGCCCUGUACCGGCGCAUGCUGUAGGUGGAGAAGUUGAGCUGUGUGUGUGUGUGUGUGUGUGUGUGUUGAGCUCCUCUCUCUGUUCCAGCGGGGCGGUCAGCGGGGUGUGAGCAGCUGGUCAGUGGCUCUGUGGUCGGACAGAAGAGUGAGUAGCCGAUGCAGGUUCACGCGUUGACGCCGGUUCCAGCUCAUCUGUGUGUCUUGCUGUCUGCAGCCGCCAGAGAGACUCGGAGACACGACUGGACGCUGUCACAGGGUGCAGAGACGCGUGCUGAGAUACAGAAGUGGUCAGUCGGAGUCGGUUCUGGAUCUGAUCAGCAGUGACCAUGUUGUUGAUGGUGGUGACGUCGGAGGACAGGAGGACAUUUCAGAAUUUCGCGGCGGUGGCAGCGGCGGCAGCGGCAGGAGAAACACGCUGAAUCUGCGCAGGCGUCUGUUCGCCUUCCCGUCUCAGUCAGAGGACGCGUUGCUGGGAGGAGGUCAGCUGUGUGAACCGAUACUGAGGUUGGUGCUGGUUGGAGACGUUGGAUCAGGAAAAUCCAGCUUCCUGCUACAGCUGAGACACCAUCGAUUUACAGGAGAUGUACAGCCUACUGUGGGUAAGACACACACACACACACA